CACGGGAGACACACGGCGGGUGCUAACGUCCGUCGUGAAGAGGGAAACAACCCAGACCGCCAGCUAAGGUCCCAAAGUCAUGGUUAAGUGGGAAACGAUGUGGGAAGGCCCAGACAGCCAGGAUGUUGGCUUAGAAGCAGCCAUCAUUUAAAGAAAGCGUAAUAGCUCACUGGUCGAGUCGGCCUGCGCGGAAGAUGUAACGGGGCUAAACCAUGCACCGAAGCUGCGGCAGCGACGCUGAUGCGUUGUUGGGUAGGGGAGCGUUCUGUAAGCCUGUGAAGGUGUGUCGUGAGGCAUGCUGGAGGUAUCAGAAGUGCGAAUGCUGACAUAAGUAACGAUAAAGCGGGUGAAAAGCCCGCUCGCCGGAAGACCAAGGGUUCCUGUCCAACGUUAAUCGGGGCAGGGUGAGUCGACCCCUAAGGCGAGGCCGAAAGGCGUAGUCGAUGGGAAACGGGUUAAUAUUCCCGUACUUGGUGUUACUGCGAAGGGGGGACGGAGAAGGCUAUGUUGGCCGGGCGACGGUUGUCCCGGUUUAAGCGUGUAGGUGUGUGUUCCAGGUAAAUCCGGUUCACUUUAACACUGAGGCGUGACGACGAGGCACUACGGUGCUGAAGCAACAAAUGCCCUGCUUCCAGGAAAAGCCUCUAAGCAUCAGGUAACACGAAAUCGUACCCCAAACCGACACAGGUGGUCAGGUAGAGAAUACCAAGGCGCUUGAGAGAACUCGGGUGAAGGAACUAGGCAAAAUGGUGCCGUAACUUCGGGAGAAGGCACGCUGACACGUAGGUGAAGUGAUUUACUCAUGGAGCUGAAGUCAGUCGAAGAUACCAGCUGGCUGCAACUGUUUAUUAAAAACACAGCACUGUGCAAACACGAAAGUGGACGUAUACGGUGUGACGCCUGCCCGGUGCCGGAAGGUUAAUUGAUGGGGUCAGCGUAAGCGAAGCUCCUGAUCGAAGCCCCGGUAAACGGCGGCCGUAACUAUAACGGUCCUAAGGUAGCGAAAUUCCUUGUCGGGUAAGUUCCGACCUGCACGAAUGGCGUAAUGAUGGCCAGGCUGUCUCCACCCGAGACUCAGUGAAAUUGAACUCGCUGUGAAGAUGCAGUGUACCCGCGGCAAGACGGAAAGACCCCGUGAACCUUUACUAUAGCUUGACACUGAACAUUGAGCCUUGAUGUGUAGGAUAG
rnacentral:rRNA from 1 species